CUGUUAGAGGAAUGAUGUACUACUAUAAGGCCCUCAAGCUUUUGGCAUUUCUGGAUUCUGCAUCAGAAAUAGAGACCCAAG
rfam:Glycine max cultivar Williams 82 chromosome 13, whole genome shotgun sequence.